CGAACGCUGGCGGCGUGCUUAACACAUGCAAGUCGACCGGUGAACUCCGCUUGCGGGGGGAUCAGUGGCGAACGGGUGAGUAACACGUGGGCAACCUGCCCUCAGCUCUGGGAUAACUCCAAGAAAUUGGGGCUAAUACCGGAUAUGACCGCUGACCGCAUGGUCUGGUGGUGGAAAGAUUUAUCGGCUGGGGAUGGGCCCGCGGCCUAUCAGCUUGUUGGUGGGGUAGUGGCCUACCAAGGCGACGACGGGUAGCCGGCCUGAGAGGGUGACCGGCCACACUGGGACUGAGACACGGCCCAGACUCCUACGGGAGGCAGCAGUGGGGAAUAUUGCGCAAUGGGCGAAAGCCUGACGCAGCGACGCCGCGUGGGGGAUGACGGCCUUCGGGUUGUAAACCUCUUUCAGCAGGGACGAAGCGAAAGUGACGGUACCUGCAGAAGAAGCACCGGCCAACUACGUG
rnacentral:rRNA from 1 species